CCUACGGGAGGCAGCAGUGAGGAAUAUUGCACAAUGGGGGGAACCCUGAUGCAGCAACGCCGCGUGGAGGAUGACGCAUUUCGGUGUGUAAACUCCUUUUAUAUGUCAAGAAAAUGACGGUAGCAUAUGAAUAAGCACCGGCUAACUCCGUG
rnacentral:rRNA from 1 species